rnacentral:rRNA from 1 species
AGAGUUUGAUCAUGGCUCAGAUUGAACGCUGGCGGCAUGCUUAAUACAUGCAAGUCGAACGGUAACAUGCUCUUCGGAGUGAUGACGAGUGGCGGACGGGUGAGUAAUACAUAGGAAUCUACCUAGUAGUGGGGGACAACCUGGUGAAAACCAGGCUAAUACCGCAUACGACCUACGGGUGAAAGUGGGGGACCUUCGGGCCUCACACUCUAGGAUGAGCCUAUGUCAGAUUAGCUAGUUGGUAGGGUAAAGGCCUACCAAGGCGACGAUCUGUAGCUGGUUUGAGAGAAUGAUCAGCCACACUGGGACUGAGACACGGCCCAGACUCCUACGGGAGGCAGCAGUGGGGAAUAUUGGACAAUGGGGGCAACCCUGAUCCAGCAAUGCAGCGUGUGUGAAGAAGGCCUGCGGGUUGUAAAGCACUUUCAAUUGGGAGGAAAAGCUGAGCGUUAAUAGCGUUUAGUCUUGACGUUACCAUUAGAAGAAGCACCGGCUAACUCCGUGCCAGCAGCCGCGGUAAUACGGAGGGUCCGAGCGUUAAUCGGAAUUACUGGGCGUAAAGCGCGCGUAGGCGGUUUACUCAGUCAGAUGUGAAAGCCCCGGGCUCAACCUGGGAACUGCAUUUGAUACUGGUAGACUAGAGUAUGGUAGAGGUGAGUGGAAUUUCAGGUGUAGCGGUGAAAUGCGUAGAGAUCUGAAGGAACAUCAGUGGCGAAGGCGACUCACUGGGCCAUUACUGACGCUGAGGUGCGAAAGCGUGGGUAGCAAACAGGAUUAGAUACCCUGGUAGUCCACGCCCUAAACGAUGUCAACUAGGAGUAUGGGAGUUUAUCUCUUGUGUUUCGAAGCUAACGCGAUAAGUUGACCGCCUGGGGAGUACGGCCGCAAGGCUAAAACUCAAAUGAAUUGACGGGGGCCCGCACAAGCGGUGGAGCAUGUGGUUUAAUUCGAUGCAACGCGAAGAACCUUACCAGGUCUUGACAUCCAGAGAAUCUUUCAGAGAUGAGAGAGUGCCUUCGGGAAUUCUGAGACAGGUGCUGCAUGGCUGUCGUCAGCUCGUGUCGUGAGAUGUUGGGUUAAGUCCCGUAACGAGCGCAACCCUUAUCCUUAGUUGCCAUCAUUUAGUUGGGGACUCUAAGGAGACUGCCGGUGACAAACCGGAGGAAGGUGGGGACGACGUCAAGUCAUCAUGGCCCUUACGGCCUGGGCUACACACGUGCUACAAUGGGCAGUACAGAGGGAUGCAAACUCGCUAGAGUAAGCGGACCCCAGACAGCUGUUCGUAGUCCGGAUUGGAGUCUGCAACUCGACGCCAGGAAGGCGGAAGCUCGAGUAAUCGCUGAUCAGAAUGCCGCGGUGAAUACGUUCCCGGGCCUUGUACACACCGCCCGUCACACCAUGGGAGUGGGUUGCAAAAGAAGUGGCUAGUUUAACCUUCGGGAGAACGGUCACCACUUUGUGGCUCAUGACUGGGGUGAAGUCGUAACAAGGUAGCCCUAGGGGAACCUGCGGUUGGAUCACCUCCUU